rnacentral:rRNA from 1 species
UACGUAGGGUGCGAGCGUUGUCCGGAAUUAUUGGGCGUAAAGGGCUCGUAGGCGGUCUGUCGCGUCGGGAGUGAAAACUCAGGGCUUAACCCUGAGCCUGCUUCCGAUACGGGCAGACUAGAGGUAUGCAGGGGAGAACGGAAUUCCUGGUGUAGCGGUGAAAUGCGCAGAUAUCAGGAGGAACACCGGUGGCGAAGGCAGUUCUCUGGGCAUUACCUGACGCUGAGGAGCGAAAGUGUGGGGAGCGAACAGG